GCUGUUCCCUGAGUCAUGCAAUCCAUAGUGAAGAGGCCAGAGGCCCGGAUGGGGAAGUGCCGGGGGCAGCCGUGGCAGCUUCAUCACAGAGGAGAGAGGCUGCCAUGAGUGUGCUAAGUUUCUGAUUUCUGUGAUCAUAGCAAGAUUGUCCUAAAUUAGACACAAGGUUGGCUUUGAAUGCAGCUGCUUAAUCUACUGACUAUCUGCCGACUUGAACACAGUUGCCGUUCUCCCCUGAAGUGACAGAUUAAGUUUGUGGAGCAGGUUGAAUGUGUCACACAAGCUUUGAAUGUUUGAGACUACCUUGGCCACCAGAUUGUGUUACCUGGAAGUUUGGUCCCAAGCAAGAAGCCACAGGGAGAGACAGCGAGGCAACUCUAUGCACAUGCAAUGAACACUGAGACUGAUAUCACUGAGACUUUCAGAGGACAAUGGACUCAUUAUGGAUCUCACAUCUUUCCUAGACUCUGUUCUUUGCUCUUGGGUCUUCUCUACUCAGACUACCUGCCCCCAAAUGCUCCAUCCUCACCAAAAUAUAAAGAUUGAGAAGAAAGUGGGACAAAGGGUGUGGAAUAAAAAAUGUAAGAUUGGCUAUCACCCCAAGGUGAUCAAAUCUAAUGUUGGCUUUGCUCCAGCGGAUCUGUG
rnacentral:lncRNA from 10 species